GAUGAACGCUGGCGGCGUGCUUAAUACAUGCAAGUCGAACGAUGAAGCGCAGCUUGUUGGGUGGAUUAGUGGCGAACGGGUGAGUAGCUAGUGAGUAACCUGCCCUUAACUAUGGGUUAAGCAAGGGCAACUGGGUCUAAUACCGGAUAGGAGCGUCCACCGACUGGAGGGUGUUGGAAAGAUAUAUCGGUUUUGGAUGGAUUCGCGGUCUAUCCGCUAGUUGGUGAGGUAAUGGCACACCAACGCCACGACGGGUAGCCGACAUGAGAGGGUGACCGGCGUCACUGCGACUGAGACACGGACCAGACUCCAACGUGAGGCAACAGGGGGGAACAUGGCGCAGUGGGCGCGAGCCUGUUGCAGAGACGCUGCGUGAGUGAAGACGUCCUUCGGGUGGUAAACCUCUGUCAGUAGGGAAGAAGCGAAAGUGACGGUACCUGCAGAAAAAGCACCGGCUAACUACGUG
rnacentral:rRNA from 1 species